GACGAACGCUGGCGGCGUGCUUAACACAUGCAAGUCGAACGAAGAGCGAUGGAAGCUUGCUUCUAUCAAUCUUAGUGGCGAACGGGUGAGUAACGCGUAAUCAACCUGCCCUUCCGAGGGGGACAACAGUUGGAAACGACUGCUAAUACCGCAUACGAUCUAAUCUCGGCAUCGAGGAUAGAUGAAAGGUGGCCUCUACAUGUAAGCUAUCACUGAAGGAGGGGAUUGCGUCUGAUUAGCUAGUUGGAGGGGUAACGGCCCACCAAGGCGAUGAUCAGUAGCCGGUCUGAGAGGAUGAACGGCCACAUUGGGACUGAGACACGGCCCAGACUCCUACGGGAGGCAGCAGUGGGGAAUCUUCCGCAAUGGACGAAAGUCUGACGGAGCAACGCCGCGUGAGUGAUGACGGCCUUCGGGUUGUAAAGCUCUGUUAAUCGGGACGAAAGGCCUUCUUGCGAAUAGUGAGAAGGAUUGACG
rnacentral:rRNA from 1 species